UACGUAGGGGGCUAGCGUUGUCCGGAAUCAUUGGGCGUAAAGCGCGUGUAGGCGGCCCGGUAAGUCCGCUGUGAAAGUCCAGGGCUCAACCCUGGGAUGCCGGUGGAUACUGUCGGGCUCGAGUCCGGAAGAGGCGAGUGGAAUUCCUGGUGUAGCGGUGAGAUGCGCAGAUAUCAGGAGGAACACCAAUGGCGAAGGCAGCUCGCUGGGACGGUACUGACGCUGAGGCGCGAAAGCGUGGGGAGCAAACAGG
rnacentral:rRNA from 1 species